UGGCUCAAUACUGACAUUAAAACAACCACCUUGGGUUUGUCUCAAUGAAACUCUGAUCAGGAGACAGCGUCGUUAGUUAAGGCAUCUAAAACUUCGCCAAAUCAAGUAUUUACAUGUACAGUUUAUACUACGACAGCUUUGAAAAGCCUUAAUGAGAAUCAGGGGCCCAGAAUGCAAGGCACCAUACAGUUAGACAAGUCGUGUCCUAAAAUGCUUACACAGUCAAGAGACAAACUAAGGAUACAACAUAAAAGCCAAGUGAUCGGGGUGACAUCAGACACACGGCAACAUGAGCAUAACCUGGCAAAAGACUCGGCAUCAGAGAGACCGUGACGCUGAUAAAGAGCUCAUGCAGCACGCGAGAAAUGGGAUGCGAUGAGACAUGACAAUGUGCCUUAGCGAAGCUGGACGUCUGCGCACGUAUGAAUCUGCAAGCAAAAUCCAUACGCAUCACCUAGGUUUCCGCAUCAACUUCUCAGACGCUUCACAUACAGCACCUUGUGGGCAAUUCCUGGAUUGUAGCUGGUGAACUUUCAAGGGUACGCUAUUCACCUCCCUUAGCCAGAGAGGUGGAAGAGAAAAACAAAGAAAACCCAGACAGGACUCCUUACGGUCAUGUACAUUAAUCUAUCAUCAAGAUAAAUCGACAUUAUGUCUUUUUUUCCCCCCCAAUAACGAAUCACUGAGUGAAAUUCAAUAAAAAGAACAGCAACAUGAAUGACCUUAAAGCUGUAGCUAAACUUCUCAAACAAAAAACACAUAGGUACAAUUCUGGCAGGAACUAAACUACAACUGCAUUUAUAGGCAUCUUUGUCCCACAUUAUUCUAAUUAAGAAAAUACUAAGUAAUUAUAUCAGGGUCGGGUAAUUAUUUUGGGCGGAGGGCCACUUACUGAGUUUUGGCAAGCCAUCGAGGGCCGCGUGACAGGCAGCCCAGGGCAGAUAAGUAUUACUUUUCUAAAUUUUUUAGGGGCCCCGCGGGCUGGAUAGAAUGGCCUGGCAUGCCACAUCUGGCCCCCGGGCCGCAUUUUGCCCACCCCUGGAUUAUAUAGUGUCUAAUUCCCAGGUCUAUGCUCAGGUCAGUAGGCCAGCUGCCCUCAGACUGUGGCCCCCUCACCAGCUGUCCAAGGAGAGCUGCCCAGCCACGUGGUAACUGGCUUGUUUUCAGCAUCCUUCUCCGGAUGUGCAAACUUUUUACCGAGCAGAACCCAGCUCUCUGUAAAAGCAGCACGGGGGAAACAAAGAACCAUCAAUACAGUUAAGAAUAACUAAAUAUUUCCCCAUGAAAGGAAUCACUGUAUUUACCAAAGAGAUGCAGAGUAAUAACUGAGAGAAGAGCUCUCUCAUUUGUGAUCACCUGGAGAGAUAAUACCCAAGACAUGGUCACACUACAAAAAAGGUAAGAACUUCCUGAGCUUAACGGCAGCUCUUAUUAAAUAACAGAAAAUGGAUUGGGACCUCUUCUGUCACCCUCCUUCAACACCAGCAUUUAAGAGGUCACUUCUGAACAAAAAAAGCAACCGCACAGCAUUAAAACUAUUUCUAAAACCAA